UGGCUCAGGAUGAACGCUGGCGGCGUGCCUAAUACAUGCAAGUCGAACGAGGGUGCUUGCACCCUAGUGGCGAACGGGUGAGUAACACGUAGGUAACCUGCCCUUAAGCUUGGGAUACCCAGAGGAAACUUUGGCUAAUACCGGAUAACAACAGAAGAGGCAUCUCUUCAGUUUGAAAGGCCCUUUACGGGGUCACUUAAGGAUGGACCUGCGGCGCAUUAGCUAGUUGGUGAGAUAACAGCCCACCAAGGCGAGGAUGCGUAGCCGACCUGAGAGGGUGAUCGGCCACAUUGGAACUGAGACACGGUCCAAACUCCUACGGGAGGCAGCAGUAAGGAGUUUUCGGCAAUGGGGGAAACCCUGACCGAGCAACGCCGCGUGAGUGAAUGACGGCCCUAUGGGUUGUAAAGCUCUGUUGUAAGGGACGAAUGAUUCGCUUAGGAAAUGAAGCGAGUUUGACGGUACCUUACCAGAAAGCCACGGCUAACUACGUGCCAGCAGCCGC
rnacentral:rRNA from 1 species